rnacentral:tRNA from 1 species
UUGAUUAAAGCCAAAGAGAGGCAUAUUAUUGUUAAUAAUAAAAUUAGGUAUUACCUUAAUCAAG